GUCAGAGUGCCUUUCAUUCCUGCAAUAAUCAACCAGUGUAGCUCUUCCUCAGACCUGGGGAGAGAGAAGAUAGAGGUCAAAAGAGCAAUUACAUUUCACAUCGACUCCAGAAAAGGCUUGGAUCACAAGACUGAAAAGAAAAAAAUGGAUUCUAGCCUCAUUCUUAUCCAUUCGCUUUCUGGUCAUCUUUGUUAUUAACACUGCCCUGAAACCAUAACAAGUUUUAGCUUGAUGACGUGAAAAACGCAUUUUCCGCCUGCAGAUGAGAUCUUUCUUCUUAGACAUUUAGCACUGUCAGCAUAUUGCAAAAGAAUGCAAAUGAGCUGCAGGAUCUAUAACCAGAGACAGUAAGCAAAGGCCAUUAAUUAUGUUUUUAAAAAAUGUUAACCCUAGCAGACUGUAUAACAAGCAAUUGUGCUAAUUUCAAUCUGUAAUCAGUCCCUACAUUAGCAUAACUUUAUUUAUUUAGCAUUAAGGCAACAAUUUAGAGAAUAUAAUUUAGUUGGAAACGUCAGUAAUUUUGCAGUGGCAGAUUGCUGUUACAGAGCUACCUCUAUUUGACCUUACAGCUGCCAGGACUAAUUAUUUUAAUUGCAUUAAUUGCACUGACCAUUCUGGUGUUUAAUGUAGUUGCUGCUACUCUUUAACCAUUGAGCAAAUCAGCCUGGCUGAAUUCUUAGCAAAAUGGGCCAAUGCUCCUUUCUAAAUCUCUUCUGAUUCUUUUCUGCAUUGGGAGUCCAGAAAUUCAGGGACUAUCAGCCUUCUCAUUGAGACCAUGAAUUUUAAGGAAAGCCCUGGAAAAGGGGGAAAAAAUCUGUUCUUCCAAACUGAUUUUUUAAAAAGUAUUUAUUUAUUUUUUUAGUUUUCGGUGGACACAAAUCUUCAUUUUAUUUGUAUGUGGCGCUGAGGAUCGAACCCAGCACCUCGCGCAUGCCAGGCAAGCGCGCUACUGCUUGAGCCACAUCCCUAGCCCUUCCAAACUGAUUUUUAUUGCUGACUCCAUUUAAGUACAAUUAGUACUUUAGUUCAAUUUAGUACAUUAGUUCACCAAUGACAAAGAAGUGUUUGAGAAAUGGUUGUGGCAGUUUUGACAGUAAAUUAAAAUUCCCCCUUUGCACAUUUUGGGAUGCAAGCCUAUUAAAAAUUCCACAUUCUUUUUUCCACCUUACAGAAGGAGCGCAGAGCUUUCCUGAGGAUUGGACUCAACACAAAUUGAAAUACACAGCCAUCUCCUAACUGAAGACCUAUGGUCCUAUGAAUCUAUAAAAUAGAUAUUUCCUCCUGACAGGGAAAGUUCCGCAGGACAUUUAAUAAAUAAUUUGCUACUAGGAACACAUCUAUUAGUUGAAAUGAAGUACACUUGGAAUGCCCGUUCUUACAUGUGAAAUUAUAGACUCUGCAAGUCAGAAAGAACAGAUCCAUCUCAUCCAUCUGCUUACUCAAAGCAGGAACAAACUCCUUAUUUCUUUCCAAUGAUCAUCUAACCUCCAAGUAAACGCAUCAAGCGCUUUUUAAAUGUAACUAAGAUUACUUUAUUCAAUAAUUUGAGUUGCUAAAACAUAGUUUGAUAUAACAAUGCAUACCUGUUUCACUACAACUUCUAUUCACUGGAUAAUAAUAACAGCUAAUAUGUAUUGAGUGAAGCUAUAUUCCAGGUGCUAUUUUAGGCACUUGACACGUAUUGAUUCAGAUAAUCCUCCGAACAGUCCUAUGUAAUAUGCAUCCAUUUUGAUGGAUAUUAUUAUACAUAGGAGGUAGUUUCAUUCAUGGUAGAAGCAGGAUUCCAGCCUUGGCAUGGGGGCCUGGGGCCUUUGAGCUUGUCCUCGCAUCUAGGUUGCCUUUGAUUGGGAUGGAUUCUUCCUCUUAGUCUACAUAGAACCUAUCAAACAGCUCUUUGGCUAUGCCAAUAACUCUUAGCUAGCUGUCUCUGAUUUCUCAUAUUCUAGAAUUUUAGUUUGGCAACAUUUCUCUUUAAAAUGAAACACCUAGAUCUGUGAAAAAGUUUAAUGCUCAAAAAUGUGAACCAUUACAUCAAGUCACAUUCUACUCAUCUGAAGUUCUCAGCCCAUGUGUCACUUGCUUGGGAAAACCCUUGCUCACCCCAGCUCAACCUCAGGAAGCCUUGUUACACACUCCUAGUACUACCAUCCUUUCUUUACUAGCUUUAACACCCCAUAAUUAAAUAAUUAUAACCCAGAUACCUUGCCCAGUAAAGAGGAAGGCAACCCAGAUAGCCUGCCUAUUAAAAUAGGGGAAGGAGGGGCAGGCAGUACCAUCCAUUUUCAGUAGUUUAAGUAUUAACCAGUUAAUCCCACAUGAAACAAAGAAAUUCACUAAUUCCUUCCAUCCUUCAGGUUUGAGCUCUGUAUUGUAAUUAUAGUUAAGCAACCUUCCCAUCUGUGGGUAUAUGUUUCAAGAUCUUCAGUGGAUAUUUAAAAUUUUGGAUAGGACCAGACCCUACAGAUACCAUGUUUUUCUCUGAUACAUAUAUACUUAUGCUAAAGUUUAAUUUAUCAGUGAGGUAUUGUAACAGACAACCAACAAUAACAAAUAAAAUAGAACAAUUAUAACAACUUUGUAUAAUAAAUAUUAUUUAAAACUUAUGAACUGUUUUAUUCCUAGAAUUUUUAUUUAAAAUUUUUAGACCACAGUUAAACAUAGGUGAAUAAAUGGCAAAAAGUGAAACCAUGGAUAAGGGGGGACUACAGUACAUGGUAUGUGCAGAAGAGGGUGCAGAAAUGGCUCAUACUUAAAAAAAAAAUCUCUAGAUCUUCUAUGGAGCCCUCGUUCUAGACUUUCUGACAGGUAGGAAACACUUUGGACCUCUUCUUUAGCUCUUCCUCCAUCACCCCUUUAUAGUGGUUCUGGUAGAUCUGAACUCUAUGUCUUAAACAUACACCAACGUUCUGUCUCCAUGACUAAGAUCCUAUGGUUUUUCGUCCCUCACAUUCUCCACUUCCCGCAUCCUAUUUGUUUUCUGCUCUCACCAAAGAUGUGUAGAAUGCUUUCAUUCUCUAUGCUUACCUCAAAUGAACAUCCAGAACUUUUCUAGAGUUUUGCCCUCGGUGGUUCUGCCUAUUCUGUCUUCUCAGCCCCUCUGCACUCUACCUCCUCUGCUCUGUCCUCUCAGUCCUUUGUUGUAACUGCCCAGUUUCUGGCUUUGAGUCGCCUUUACACUGCUGCCUUCCCCUUCAGAACAUCCCUCAGGGGCUCCCUACCUGGCAGAUAACACACCUGCCUAUAGUAGUUAGGCACAUCUUCCAGGCAUCUUUACAACUUUAAUUUGAAUGUCAUUCUUCUGGUGGAGAAGACAGACGCAAAGCAGGAGUCAACUAAUUCUACUUUCUCUGUGUUAAUCCCACACAAAACACAGAAACUCACCAACUUCUUUGAUCCUUCAGGAUGGAAGAUAAUAUAAUAUUAGCAUACUGAUUUCUUUAGUUUUUCUUCCAUGUCUGGCUAAUUUUUAUCAUAUAGUUAGAAUUUUAUUUUUUUCUGCUUUUUUUUUGUACUGAGGAUUUAACCUAAAGGUGCUUUACCAUUGAACUAUAUCCAUA
rnacentral:lncRNA from 1 species